AGAUGUCUGGGGAAUUGGGGCCUAUGGAUACUACUGAACCUGGAGUAUCUUCAGGAGCAGAUCCCACUUGGGCUGCUUGGAGAAGGGAGGAUAGUUCUUUAAGUGUGCAUGGGGUUGAGUGUGGGCAGGAUGAUUGGAACUCCGAUGAGCAAUUAGGCACUCCUGAUCCACGAGCUCUAGCUGUGUGGAGUUCUGAUUCUGAGUAAGAUCUGGGACACCUGUUGUUUGGGUGUGAGUGUUUGGUCACCCAAGAGGAAGGGGAAUAAAUUGGGAAUGUUUGGUCACUUCACUUUGCGUGUGGCAAGGUGUUGCUGAAGCGCCAUUGGGAUUUCUGUUCAUUCAAGAAGACUGGACUGGGACUUUGCUUCUGAUCUGCUGUUACCAUCGUUGCCUUGGCUCUUUGUGCCAUUUCGUGGACCUGGUUUUGAUGACUGCACCCUUUUGGACCCUGGAUUGUAACUCGACCUUGCUUCUGCCUUCGCCCUUUGAUGGAUGACUACUCACGGCUCUUGACCACUGACCUGCCCUCCUGACCUUGCUGCUGUCUCCUGCCCUGACCCUGGAUCACCCUGACGACGCCUCUUCGCCUUUCCUUUGGAGCUCCUGGCAUUAUCUGCAUCAUAGAAGCAGUUUGCUACAGUUCUAGUUUGUUUGUUCUCAGACCAGUUUGGUGAUUCUUUUUGGAACUGCUCCUUUAAUUCCACAGAGCCGGCUGGCUGCAACAGUAAGGGCUUGGACCCAAAGUGCCUUUUGCACCGGCUCUAAGUUUGUUUUUCCUGGGCUUUAUUUUCCUGUUCUGGAUUUAAGCUACUAUUGUAGCUCUUGGAAGGUUUUUGGAAGGUUCCAAGUCCUUGUUUGUUUUGUCUAUUUUUAUAAGCCAACUCAAAUUUGUUUUUGAAGCUGAAUUGAAGCAUCUUUUUAGUUUUAUCUAAAUACUUGCAUGGAUAAUCCAGUUGGCUUGCUAAAACAUACUUUUGUUAUAUAUUUUUGUUUGGACUGCUUUUUAAACACUGAUAGUUAAGUGUUUAAAGCUAUCUUCUGUGUUUAUGUUUACUUUUUGGCCUAUCUCCUGAAUAAACUCUGUUUUGUUUGUUAA